rnacentral:rRNA from 1 species
GACGAACGCUGGCGGCGUGCCUAACACAUGCAAGUCGAGCGAAGUUAUUCCUUCGGGAAUAACUUAGCGGCGGACGGGUGAGUAACACGUGGGUAACCUGCCUUAUAGAGGGGGAUAGCCUUCCGAAAGGAAGAUUAAUACCGCAUAACAUUGAGCUUUCGCAUGGAAGCUUAAUCAAAGGAGUAAUCCGCUAUAAGAUGGACCCGCGGCGUAUUAGCUAGUGGGUGAGCUAACGGCUCACCAAGGCGACGAUGCGUAGCCGACCUGAGAGGGUGAUCGGGCACAUUGGGACUGAGACACGGCCCAGACUCCUACGGGAGGCAGCAGUGGGGAAUAUUGCACAAUGGGGGAAACCCUGAUGCAGCAACGCCGCGUGAGUGGUGAAGGCCUUCGGGUUGUAAAGCUCUGUCUUUGGGGACGAUAAUGACGGUACCCAAGGAGGAAGCCACGGCUAACUACGUGCCAGCCGCCGCGGUAAUAC